UUGAAAGGGAAACGAUUGAAGUCAGUCGUACCGACGGAAAAUCAACUUUUUGAGUGCGGACUUGUGGGUUUACGUGAGCUUUACGGCCAUGUUGUUUGCAAUGUUCGUUCUUUUUGGGUGUACUUUUUCGUAUGGUUGGCCAAUAUCAGUUUCGAUUGCUAUAAAAUGACCGGCGGAAUGUAGCUUCGAUCUCGUAUUGAAGUGUUAUAGCCUCUGGUAGAUGUGGUGAUUGGGACUGAGGAUUGCAACGAAUACCUUCUGGGCUAUCCGUCUGAUCUCUGAAAGUUGCUUAGGU
rnacentral:rRNA from 1 species